rnacentral:rRNA from 1 species
UACGUAGGGUGCAAGCGUUAUCCGGAAUUAUUGGGCGUAAAGAGCGUGUAGGCGGCUUGGUAGGUCCGCUGUGAAAACUCGAGGCUCAACCUCGAGAUGUCGGCGGAAACCACUUGGCUAGAGUCCGGAAGAGGAGAGUGGAAUUCCCGGUGUAGCGGUGAAAUGCGCAGAUAUCGGGAAGAACACCUAUGGCGAAGGCAGCUCUCUGGGACGUGACUGACGCUGAGACGCGAAAGCGUGGGGAGCGAACAGG